UACGUAGGGUGCGAGCGUUAAUCGGAAUACUGGGCGUAAAGCGUGCGCAGGCGGUUUUGUAAGCCAGAUGUGAAAUCCCCGGGCUUAACCUGGGAAUGGCAUUUGGGACUGCAAGGCUUGAGUGCGGCAGAGGAGACUGGAAUUCCUGGUGAGCAGUGAAAUGCGUAGAUAUCAGGAGGACACCGAUGGCGAAGGCAGGUCUCUGGGCUGACACUGACGCUCGA
rnacentral:rRNA from 1 species